GUAUAGAGGGUGAAUUCUGCCCAAUGGUUGUAUAGUGAAACUGAGGACUAACGUCUAAAGCGAAACCCAACUGAAUGGCCGCGGUAACUCUGACCGUGAUAAUGUAGCACAAUAAAUAGCCAAUUAAUUGUUGGCGGGUAUGAAUGGAACCACGAGGGUCUUACUGUCUCAAGAGGAAAGCCGAUGAAAUUAUAGUUGUAGUGAAGAUACUACAUAAACAUUGUAAGACGAAAAGACCCUAUCGAGCUUUACUGGAUACCGAUAGCGUUAACUUAAAAUGAUCGAUACUAAGUAUCCUAAUUUUGAGCUAAUAAAUUUUGUUGGUAGGACAGUUUAGUUGGGGCGACUACCUUUGAAUAAGAAACGAAGGCGAGCUUAUGGUAUACAAAGCUAAUCUCUUUAGCCUGACAGUGAGGGGGACACCCCUAGCUGGCACAAGGACUCCGUCCUAUGUGGGCGAUAAUGACCCGAUAUGAUUGUCCAAAAUAAAUAUCGAAAGCGGAUAAAAGCUACCGUAGGGAUAACAGCGUAAUAUUGUCGGAGAGUUCUUAUCGAGGACAGUGUUUGCGACCUCGAUGUUGAAUUGCGGUGCCCUGGUGCUGUAGAAGGUACCUUAGGUUGGUC
rnacentral:rRNA from 1 species